UUCAGUUUCAUUGUUCUGUUUAUUUUAUGACAAUAUUGAACUAUGUUAGAUUCUUUAAUUUUGACUCUAUCUUUUUAUAUGAUAGGACAAUUCUCCCCUCGUGGGUCUUCAAGUGUGCCAGGACAAACAUUUUUGUUGAGUUGAUUCACGGCUGCUUUAUACUUUUUGAUGUAAAUAUCAUCUUAUAAUGAUAUGUGAUAUACAUGACAUCUUUCUAAAAUUUCAA